AUAUCAAUAAGCGGAGGAAAAGAAACCAACAGGGAUUGCCCCAGUAACGGCGAGUGAAGCGGCAAUAGCUCAAAUUUGAAAUCUGGCCCUUUCAGGGUCCGAGUUGUAAUUUGCAGAGGGCGCUUUGGUGUCGGCAGCAGCCUAAGUUCCUUGGAACAGGUCAUCAUAGAGGGUGAGAAUCCCGUAUGUGGCUGCUUGUCUUCACCGUGUAAAGCCCCUUCGAUGAGUCGAGUUGUUUGGGAAUGCAGCUCUAAAUGGGAGGUAAAUUUCUUCUAAAGCUAAAUAUUGGCCAGAGACCGAUAGCGCACAAGUAGAGUGAUCGAAAGAUGAAAAGCACUUUGGAAAGAGAGUCAAAAAGCACGUGAAAUUGUUGAAAGGGAAGCGCUUGCAGCCAGACGUGCCCGUAGUUGCUCAUCUGGGGUUUUCCCCAGUGCACUCUUCUAUGGGCAGGCCAGCAUCAGUUCGGGCGGUUGGAGAAAGACCUGCUGCAUUUAGCUCUCUUCGGGGAGUGUUAUAGGGCAGGUGGAAUGCAACCAGCCUGAACUGAGGUCCGCGCAUCUGCUAGGAUGCUGGCGUAAUGGCUGUAAGCGGCCCGUCUUGAAACACGGACCAAGGAGUCUAACAUCUAUGCGAGUGUUUGGGUGUCAAGCCCGAGCGCGUAAUGAAAGUGAACGGAGGUGGGAACCCCUCGGGGCGCACCAUCGACCGAUCCUGAUGUCUUCGGAUGGAUUUGAGUAAGAGCAUAGCUGUUGGGACCCGAAAGAUGGUGAACUAUGCCUGAAUAGGGUGAAGCCAGAGGAAACUCUGGUGGAGGCUCGCAGCGGUUCUGACGUGCAAAUCGAUCGUCAAAUUUGGGCAUAGGGGCGAAAGACUAAUCGAACUAUCUAGUAGCUGGUUCCUGC
rnacentral:rRNA from 1 species